CCUAUUUUAUCUACACCUCCAUAACUGAUUGAUUUAUGCCCUUUAUAUUUUCAAAUCCUUUUCAACUUCUUAUUUUAUCUAUUCACUAUACCAGUCUGACUAAAAUUGCUUUGCACCUAUGGCUACGCAACUUCAUGAUAUCAGACAAAUUUCAAGCAACUCAAUGCAAUGGAAUCUCAAAGUUAGAAUCGUUCGAAUGUUGAUAAUCCCCGAUCGAUUUAAGCCAUAACUACCGUAUUCAAUUGAGUUGGUUUUAUAGGAUUCAAAGGGUGAUAGUAUACGUGCUUCAAUCAGAAAGUAUGUUGUUAAGUUUUUUAGGAACAAGAUACAGGAACUUCGUUUAUAUCAUAUGAACUAUUUUAUUGUCGGAUCAAAUAAUUUGAAGUUGAGGAAUACGACGCACAACCUGAGGCCGACAUUUACACAGAAGACAUUUGUUGAGGAAACAACUGCUCCUUCAUUUCAUAUGAACAUCUUUAACUUGCGUUCUUUUGACCAACUAACAAGUCAACAUGAUGUCGAUGAGACAGAAUUAUUCGGACGCUUGAUUAUCAAUGAUUCUCCCAACGACAACUCUAUUGUAAAUGUUGCUCGAUGGUCUGAAGCUACUAUUUGGGGCUUUCAACAUAACAGUUUUGAGAAAACAUAUUUACGAGGGACAAUCCAGAACACACGUCAUGGAAGAAUAUAAUUGUUAAUUUUGAGGCUAUAAGAACAUUAUUGGACUUUAGGAAAUACCUGUAUGUUUCUUUAUUGUGUUUCCUUAUUACUUUAUUAUACGAA